rnacentral:rRNA from 1 species
AUUGAACGCUGGCGGAAUGCUUUACACAUGCAAGUCGAACGGCAGCACGGGGGCAGUCCUGGUGGCGAGUGGCGAACGGGUGAGUAAUACAUCGGAACGUGCCCGGUCGUGGGGGAUAACGUAGCGAAAGUUACGCUAAUACCGCAUACGAUCUGAGGAUGAAAGCGGGGGACCUUCGGGCCUCGCGCGAUCGGAGCGGCCGAUGUCAGAUUAGGUAGUUGGUGGGGUAAAGGCCUACCAAGCCGACGAUCUGUAGCUGGUCUGAGAGGACGACCAGCCACACUGGGACUGAGACACGGCCCAGACUCCUACGGGAGGCAGCAGUGGGGAAUUUUGGACAAUGGGCGCAAGCCUGAUCCAGCCAUUCCGCGUGCAGGACGAAGGCCUUCGGGUUGUAAACUGCUUUUGUACGGAACGAAAAGGCUCUGGCUAAUACCUGGGGCUCAUGACGGUACCGUAAGAAUAAGCACCGGCUAACUACGU